rnacentral:rRNA from 1 species
CAGCCGCCGCGGUAAUACAGAGGAUGCAAGCGUUAUCCGGAAUUAUUGGGCGUAAAGCGCGCGUAGGCGGUUUUUUAAGUCUGAUGUGAAAGCCCACGGCUCAACCGUGGAGGGUCAUUGGAAACUGGAAAACUUGAGUGCAGAAGAGGAAAGUGGAAUUCCAUGUGUAGCGGUGAAAUGCGCAGAGAUAUGGAGGAACACCAGUGGCGAAGGCGACUUUCUGGUCUGUAACUGACGCUGAUGUGCGAAAGCGUGGGGAUCAAACAGGAUUAGAUACCCCCGUAGUCCCUGUCUCUUAUAC